AUUGAACGCUGGCGGCAGGCCUAACACAUGCAAGUCGAGCGGACGAAGGGAGCUUGCUCCUGGAUUCAGCGGCGGACGGGUGAGUAAUGCCUAGGAAUCUGCCUGGUAGUGGGGGAUAACGUCAGGAAACGGGCGCUAAUAUCGCAUACGUCCUGAGGGUGAAAGUGGGGGAUCUUCGGACCUCACGCGAUCAGAUGAGCCUAGGUCGGAUUAGCUAGUUGGUGGGGUAAGGGCCUACCAAGGCGACGAUCCGUAACUGAUCUGAGAGGGUGAUCAGUCACACUGGAACUGAGACACGGUCCAGACUCCUACGGGAGGCAGCAGUGGGGAAUAUUGGACAAUGGGCGAAAGCCUGAUGCAGCAAUGCCGCGUGUGUGAAGAAGGUCUUCGGAUUGUAAAGCACUGUUAGUUGGGAGGAAGAACAGUGUGUUAAUACCUUGAUGUCUUGACGGUACCAACAGAAUAAGCACCGGCUAACUUCGUG
rnacentral:rRNA from 1 species